rfam:Streptomyces ipomoeae 91-03 gcontig_1108499714281, whole genome shotgun sequence.
GAGUAGCGAUACAAACGUGAGAAACGUUUGCGCCGAUUGACCAAGGGUUCCUGGGUCAAGCUGAUCUGCCCAGGGUAAGUCGGGACUAAGGCGAGGCCGACAGGCGUAGUCGAUGGAUAACCGGUUGAUAUUCCGGUACCCGCUGUGAAGCGUCAAACAUCGAGCAUCGUGAUGCUAAGGCCGUGAAGCCGCCCUGAUCUCUUCGGAGUUGAGGGGAGUGGUGGAGCCGCCGGUCCAAGCGGUUAGUAGGUGAGUGAUGGGGUGACGCAGGAAGGUAGUCCAUCCCGGGCGGUGGUUGUCCCGGGGUAAGGGUGUAGGCCGUGCGAUAGGUAAAUCCGUCGUGCGUGUGGCUGAGACCUGAUGCCGAGCCGAUUGUGGUGAAGUGGAUGAUCCUAUGCUGUCGAGAAAAGCCUCUAGCGAGUUUCAUGGCGGCCCGUACCCUAAACCGACUCAGGUGGUCUGGUAGAGAAUACCGAGGCGUUCGGGUGAACUAUGGUUAAGGAACUCGGCAAAAUGCCCCCGUAACUUCGGGAGAAGGGGGGCCACACCCGGUGAUGGGUUUUACAUCCUGAGCUGGGGGUGGCCGCAGAGACCAGCGAGAAGCGACUGUUUACUAAAAACACAGGUCCGUGCGAAGCCGUAAGGCGAUGUAUACGGACUGACGCCUGCCCGGUGCUGGAACGUUAAGGGGACCGGUUAGUCAUUCUUCGGGGUGGCGAAGCUGAGAACUUAAGCGCCAGUAAACGGCGGUGGUAACUAUAACCAUCCUAAGGUAGCGAAAUUCCUUGUCGGGUAAGUUCCGACCUGCACGAAUGGCGUAACGACUUCUCGACUGUCUCAACCAUAGGCCCGGUGAAAUUGCACUACGAGUAAAGAUGCUCGUUUCGCGCAGCAGGACGGAAAGACCCCGGGACCUUUACUACAGUUUGAUAUUGGUGUUCGGUUCGGCUUGUGUAGGAUAGCUGGGAGACUGUGAGCAUCGGACGCCAGUUCGGUGGGAGUCGUCGUUGAAAUACCAGUCUGGUCGUGCUGGAUGUCUAACCCGGGUCCGUGAUCCGGAUCGGGGACAGUGUCUGAUGGGUAGUUUAACUGGGGCGGUUGCCUCCCAAAGGGUAACGGAGGCGCCCAAAGGUUCCCUCAGCCUGGUUGGCAAUCAGGUGGUGAGUGUAAGUGCACAAGGGAGCUUGACUGUGAGACCGACGGGUCGAGCAGGGACGAAAGUCGGGACUAGUGAUCCGGCGGUGGCUUGUGGAAGCGCCGUCGCUCAACGGAUAAAAGGUACCCCGGGGAUAACAGGCUGAUCUUCCCCAAGAGUCCAUAUCGACGGGAUGGUUUGGCACCUCGAUGUCGGCUCGUCGCAUCCUGGGGCUGGAGUCGGUCCCAAGGGUUGGGCUGUUCGCCCAUUAAAGCGGUACGCGAGCUGGGUUUAGAACGUCGUGAGACAGUUCGGUCCCUAUCCGCUGUGCGCGUAGGAGUCUUGAGAAGGGCUGUCCCUAGUACGAGAGGACCGGGACGGACGAACCUCUGGUGUGCCAGUUGUUCUGCCAAGGGCAUGGCUGGUUGGCUACGUUCGGGAGGGAUAACCGCUGAAAGCAUCUAAGCGGGAAGCCUGCUUCGAGAUGAGGACUCCCACCCACUUGAUGGGGUAAGGCUCCCAGUAGACGACUGGGUUGAUAGGCCGGAUCUGGAAGCACGGUAACGUGUGGAGGUGACCGGUACUAAUAGGCCGAGGGCUUGUCCUC